UCACAUGCAUCAGAGCCGGCAAUAAACCUCACGAGGUCGGGCUGGCCCCUUGGAAUCUGAUCUGAAGUCUUUCCUUAUUAGUGCAGGAUUCUAACUUAGAUUACGUUUCCAGAAUGAAAGAGCUCAGUGCAUGGAUUUGCUUUUAAUGACUCCCCGUCUGCCUUCUACUGAGUGUAAAUUCUGUUUGAACAGUGACUACGCCACACCUCUGUCCUUGUCCAGUGGGAUACUGGCAAGUCAUAUACCCUGAAGAUGAAUGGAAAGGACCCCGGAGAGUAACAACACAAUCCAGCAGUUGUUCUCCCAACACCAUGAGCAAGAAGCAAAGAAUAAAGUCACAGGAAACAGAGAAACAUCCUUGAGCAUCCUUAGAUGUGAAGUGAAAAGCAAGAGCUAAAGCCAAGAUGAGGUCGGGGGAAUCAUCUAGACAAGGGUUCAACAGCAUUUUUACUAAAGAAAUACCGACCCCAGGGAAUUCUGGCCCACACCGGUGUCCUACAAAUGCCCAGCAGCUAAUCCAUUCCUUUCUCUCAUCCCUUUGGUCCCUGAGAAAGGUGUGUCUCCCAUCCUUGAGCAAUGCACUGAUGCCAUCCCCCACUGCUUCCUUCAAAAGAAGCAGAAGUUCUUACCAUUUCACUUUCAUGCCCAAGCCUUCUUCCGGCUCACACUGGUUCAUCUCCCAGCAAUGCUCAGGUAUUUGCCAUCCUUAAACUCCUGACCAACUCUUGCUUACUUAGUUCACUCUCUUUCUCAAACUUUCCGGAAGAGAAGUUACUGUUCUUAAGAUUACUCAUCAAUUACUAGCAUUCUAGCAUUGGAUCUUCCAUUCCACCAAAGCUACAAUGUCUGCUAUUGUUGAGGACUCACAAACUGGUAGAUCACUGAACUAGUCACUCUAGAACCCGUUCUAGGGUAAUGUUCCGUAGCUACAGUGUCUGCUUUCCCCCUGUGCUGCCCCGCUGGGCAGAGGUCCACCCCACAGUCGCUCUCUCUGCUUUGCUCUGAGACAACUGCUGUUAUUAUGUAUUGAAAACCUAUCUAUGUCUGAAAAUGUGGAAAUGUGAUACUCACUAAGCUAAUAAAAACAUGUAGAAACCAGAGUUUCAUGGGUAGAUUA